ACCAUUUACCAAAGGAUGCCUCUAGAGCAGGAAGCUUUGAGAAGACCUGGGGAGCCUGGAACUUCUAAGUCUAAACAAGGAACUGACUCAGCAGGGUCUGGCUAUCUUCAGAGUCUGAGGAGAGGCGCAUCAAAGGAAUGACAGCCUGGUACCUUUGAUGAAGGAACUGACAGGAAAUUAACAGCCUCGUGCAGGCAAGGACAAAGACAAGAAAAGGCCCAUUUGGGCCUCAUAUCUCUCUGGAUUGGAACCCGCAGGAAGCAGAAGGGGCUGUUUAAUCCUGGCUCCAGAGCAACCGUGAAGGCUGGCUUCCUCCCUUGAAGAAGAACAAGGUGAAGGAAAGAAAUCACUGUGUUUUCAGCUCAGCGGCCCUGUGACAUUCCUUCGUGUUGUCAUUUGUUGAGUGACCAAUCAGAUGGGUGGAGUGUGUUACAGAAAUUGGCAGCAAGUAUCCAAUGGGUGAAGAAG
rnacentral:lncRNA from 1 species